GUGGGGAAUCUUGCGCAAUGGGCGAAAGCCUGACGCAGCCAUGCCGCGUGAAUGAUGAAGGUCUUAGGAUUGUAAAAUUCUUUCACCGGGGACGAUAAUGACGGUACCCGGAGAAGAAGCUCCGGCUAACUUCGUGCCAGCAGCCGCGGUAAUACGAAGGGGGCUAGCGUUGCUCGGAAUUACUGGGCGUAAAGGGCGCGUAGGCGGACAGCUUAGGUAGAGGUGAAAGCCCAGGGCUCAACCUUGGAAUUGCCUUUGAUACUGGCUGUCUUGAGUUUGGGAGAGGUGAGUGGAACUCCGAGUGUAGAGGUGAAAUUCGUAGAUAUUCGGAAGAACACCAGUGGCGAAGGCGACUCACUGGCCCAAUACUGACGCUGAGGCGCGAAAGCGUGGGGAGCAAACAGGAUUAGAUACCCUUGUAGUCC
rnacentral:rRNA from 1 species